UACAGAGGUCUCAAGCGUUGUUCGGAUUCAUUGGGCGUAAAGGGUGCGUAGGCGGCGCGGUAAGUCGGGGUGUGAAAUUUCGAGGCUUAACUUCGAAACUGCAUUCGAUACUGCCGUGCUUGAGGACUGGAGAGGAGACUGGAAUUUACGGUGUAGCGGUGAAAUGCGUAGAUAUCGUAAGGAAGACCAGUGGCGAAGGCGGGUCUCUGGACAGUUCCUGACGUGAGGCACGAAGGUCAGGGGAGCAAACGGG
rnacentral:rRNA from 1 species